rnacentral:rRNA from 1 species
CGUGAGAUGUUGGGUUAAGUCCCGCAACGAGCGCAACCCUUGUCAUUAGUUGCUACGAAAGGGCACUCUAAUGAGACUGCCGGUGACAAACCGGAGGAAGGUGGGGAUGACGUCAAGUCCUCAUGGCCCUUAUGGGUAGGGCUUCACACGUCAUACAAUGGUCGGUACAGAGGGUUGCCAAGCCGCGAGGUGGAGCCAAUCCCAGAAAACCGAUCGUAGUCCGGAUCGCAGUCUGCAACUCGACUGCGUGAAGUCGGAAUCGCUAGUAAUCGCGGAUCAGAAUGCCGCGGUGAAUACGUUCCCGGGUCUUGUACACACCGCCCGUCACACCAUGGGAGUGGGUUCUACCAGAAGUGGCUAG